UGAAUCAUCGUCGGGGCUGGUGGGUGAUCCUCCUUGUGGGGUAGUAGGUGAUUCGCCUUGUGGUUGGGUUGGUGAUCCACCUUGUGGUUGGUUAGGUGAUCCGCCUUGUGGUUGGUUAGGUGAUCCGCCUUGUGGUUGGUUAGGUGAUUCGCCUUGUGGUUGGGUUGGUGA